AUAACGGAGUGUUCAAAUCCCGGAAGUUCACGUUAACUUUUCUUCGGUGUCUUUAAUAAGGUAACGACAUGUUGUGGUUUCUAUAGUUUCUUCUAGGUUGCGAAUACAGAUGGUGUUAAUUUCAUAGGCAACAGCUAUCAACUAUAAGCUUGCAAAGAUGGAGAUAAUGAUAAGAAUUCAAGAGAGAGGAUAAUAAAAGUGAUUCAUGAACUAAAUCAUCAUAGUUCAACCAUUAAAUGAGAGUGUGAUUUUGUUAGAGUUCUAACAAUAGAAGGAUGAAAGUAUUUGGACAAAGAUUUCCCUAGGAGAUUAGACGUUUUUCGAUAUCAUCGGUAGUAAAGAUGUGAUAAGUUCGGGAAAAUUGACCUUGGAGUAUGUCUUACAUCAUACUAGAAAUAAGAAAAUUUUGACAGUACGAAGACCUAACAGACUGAAAGUUCAAGGUCUUAACAUAAGUAGGAAAUUAAUACUAGGGUCUAUACAUAGGCCUGAUUAUAUCGAAAAAAGAGAGUAGGGUACAAUCUACUUCCUACUAGAUCCUGCUUUGGAUUUGGACAGCUGGCGUUCUAACUCGAACAUACGUCUUUCGUGUACCAUCUGACGAUCUCGCAGCUCCCUAACUUCGGCUUGGGAUGCGACCAGUUCUUGCUGCAAGGAGUUGGUACAAUCCCUUGUUGCAUUAUGAUUGCCUUCCAAGUUAUGAAAAUGAACAACAUCGACACCAGUGGUAGCUUCAAUAUGCAUAAUGUGAUCGAUGAUAGCUCUUCCCUGUUCGGUGUUACAAGAAACGCGACGAACCAGCACGGGAAGUGCCCUAUCUGUUGAACCUCCGGCUUCUAGAUUGUAGAAGCUUCGGUCUCCUCGGUAGAGGUGAUUCUGACCUUGUUCAUCAUUCCACCUGUCUAAUUUUAUGGCCCACAGAGGCAUCAGGCCUUGAAAGUUCUAACGAGGGUUAAGGUUCUAAACAACUUGGGGGUGGAUUGUAACCUCCUGGUCCUGAAUCAUCGUCUUCGGGAAAGUCUUUAGCAAAAUCAUCGUCUAAGGGGAUUGCAGGCUCUUCUUCUGGUUCGGCACUAAGCCAAACAACAUACGCUUGAUUAGGAAUGUACGGAUCUCCGGGAAGAUGGAACCCAACCAUUAUUAUCUAAGCGAGAAACAAGGGUAUAAGAAAUAUUUAACAACUGGUGGUAGCUGUCUACUACUAUAUCUGAAACUUAGAAAAAUCAUAACUUCCUCACACGAAGUCAGAUUUGGGCAUUCUUUUUAUAUAUGAUUAUGGUUUAAUAAUAUCUACGACUUUCAUUUAGAUACCUAAGGUUAAAAAUUAUUUUAUUGAAAUUUCAUGUUUUACGUUUAACAGUGUUUUACAGUAUUUUUCGCGUAUCUUUGAUUGGUGAUAACUUCUUCGUUAUAACUUGGAUUUUGGUGUUCUUUAUAUUUUUGAAAAACCUUAACACGAUAUCUAUCAUUUUAUACAUCCCAAACAGGGUUAUUGAACAAUCUAUUUUUGACCUAAAUUUGACUGGUGUUACAUUAUAUGAUCUUGAAAUAUUGGGUUGUUACAUCAUCCCCCCGUGAGAGGGAAUUUCAUCCCGAAAUUAUUUCUAAAAUAAGUAUUUAUGGACUAGGGAAGAGAUGCAGGUACUCUUGUUUUAUCUGACCUUCACGUUCCCAGGUGUACUCAGGUCCUCGUUGGGCAUUUAAGCGGACCUUUACAAUGGUAUGCGACUUCGUUUUUGUUCUUUUAAAUUUCUCGAUCCAUGAUUUCUACUGGCUCUUCUAUGAAGUGGAGGCCCGCAUUGAUCUCGAUGUCGUCAAGUUUAAUAACAAGAGUCUCAUCGGGUAGACAUUUUUUAGUCUUCAGGGCUUUUAGUUGAGUCUCCUUAAUUUGGGUGGGAAUAUGUGAAUGGAUAGUCAUAGCCAAUGAUUCGACUCUUCGAUUCCAAAAUUCGCACUUGGGGGAUUUCGUGUAGAGCUUGUCUGCUCGAAGUGUUUCUUGAACCAGACGUAAGUGUUGACUGUGUUCCCUCUUACUACGAGAGUAGAUAAGUAUGUCAUCGUUAAAUACAAUAACGAAUUGAUCCAAUUAAGGACGACACACCCUGUUCAUUAAGUCCAUGUACGAUGUGGGUGCAUCAGUUAAUCCGAAUGGCAUCACAAUAAACUUGUAGUGACCAUAUCGGGUUCGGACGGUUGUCUUGGGAACAUUCUCCUCUACCACUCAUAAUUGAUGGUACCCGAAUCGUAAGUCAAUCUUCGAAAGUAGUAAAUCAUCAUAGUUCAACCAUUAAAUGAGAGUGUGAUUUUGGUAGAGUUCUAACAAUAGAAGGAUGAAAGUAUUUGGACAAAGAUUUUCCUAGGAGAUUAGACGUUUUUCGAUAUCAUCGGUAGUAAAGGUGUGAUAAGUUCGGGAAAAUUGACCUUGGAGUAGGUCUUACAUCAUACUAGAAAUGAGAAAAUUUUGACAGUAUGAAGACCUAACAGACUGAAAGUUCAAGGUCUUAACAUAAGUAGGAAAUUAAUACUAGGGUCUAUACAUAGGCCUGAUUAUAUCGAAAAAAGAGAGUAGGGUACAAUCUACUUCCUACUAUAUCCUGGUUU
rnacentral:lncRNA from 1 species